rnacentral:rRNA from 1 species
ACUCCUAGGGAGGCAGCAGUGGGGAAUAUUGCACAAUGGGCGCAAGCCUGAUGCAGCCAUGCCGCGUGUAUGAAGAAGGCCUUCGGGUUGUAAAGUACUUUCAGCAGUGAGGAAGGUGGGUAUGUUAAUAGCAUAUUCAUUUGUACGUUAGCUGCAGAAGAAGCACCGGCUAACUCCGUGCCAGCAGCCGCGGUAAUACGGAGGGUGCGAGCGUUAAUCGGAAUUACUGGGCGUAAAGCGCAUGCAGGUGGUUUGUUAAGUCAGAUGUGAAAGCCCGGGGCUCAACCUCGGAAUUGCAUUUGAAACUGGCAAACUAAGAGUACUGUAGAGGGGGGUAGAAUUUCAGGUGUAGCGGUGAAAUGCGUAGAGAUCUGAAGGAAUACCGGUGGCGAAGGCGGCCCCCUGGACAGAUACUGACACUCAGAUGCGAAAGCGUGGGGAGCAAACCAGGAUUAGAUACCCCUGGUAGGCGU